rnacentral:misc_RNA from 1 species
UCUCCGUUGGUGAACCAGCGGAGGGAUCAUUACAGGACUCGCAAGACUCCUUCACCCUGUGGACCACACCACAAGCACGUUGCUUCGGCGGGGGUCGCGGCGGCGGUUUUCCCGCGCCGCGGCGCACAGCCCGCCGGCAGCCUACAAUACUCUGUCUCUUUGCGUUGGCAGCUCGAGAGUACUCAAACAAGUUAAAACUUUCAACAACGGAUCUCUUGGUUGUG